CUUACAACAGUUCACUAACUCAUACAAUCACUACAUCUACAAUGUGUAACUUUGUCCACAAUAUACGCGAAGAACGAAUGAGGAAUGAUUUUUUCCGAGGUAAAGUUAGGCUUCUGUCUCAAUUACGUUUCAAAUUGCCAUAAUGGGCGGGCUAAUGUUGUUUUCCUCAGCGUCUCAGCAUAAGGACAGAAAGCAGGCUCUGAUAAUGCAUUGCUAAUGUUAGCAUACGUCCAUAUGAACUAACGUAACGUUACUUUGCACGAACAUGCAUAACUUUGUUCGACUGUCAUGAAUGUAUGAAAUGUCCAUUGACAUCAAGUAAAAGUUAGUCAAACAUAGAUUAAUCUUACGUUGGCAUCUGUCUUCAAAUUCUUAGUUUUCAGCAGUCUCCAUCUUUCAAAGGCAUCUCCUUUACAAAUUCUUGUUUUAUUUCGGACUUGUCACGACGUAUUUCGGAAUUAUAACGAGGUCUUUUAGAUUUCGUAACAUUAUUUAUCCGACUAGAGUUAGGGUAGGUUAGAGCAGAGCUGGCAACCAGGAUCCCGAAACACUCCCCCAGAUAGCAAAAAAUAUCCGCACUGCUUCUUUUUGCCGCCGGCCCUAAGCUGUCGGCUAUAGAUGCAUCCUGCUGGCGGAGAUGAAACGUUUGCCGCCGAAUACGUCACUCCUAUUUCUUGCGAGAUGCGAGAUUCUUGCGAGAUGCUUCAUUUUCUCUGGCGGUUGCCUCGGUCUAAUGGACCUCGGUCGUCUGGCGGCAAGACGCUUUUAAAUACAAGGCUACUCUCAAAAUCGACCGGCCAUGUUGGUUUGGACACACAUUCGCAUCAGUUCGUCGCUGAAUCGUGAGUUACAGCCUGCAGUUUGCUAGCUCGCAAAGUCAUCGACUACCAUCGUUUAAAUACCUUGGCCAGCUAGAGCAUAACUGGUUAUCUUCACCCAAGAGACCUACUGUUGGUUAAUCGUUUUGGCUUUAAAGGUAAAUGCAUUGUUAGUCACAAUGUCUAGUUACUGUGCCAAAAGGAAAAUAAUAUUGAAAAGAGUUGAGAGGGACAAACAGGACAUUCACUUGAAUCACUACAUGCUACAGAAGUUGCAUCGAUUCCAGAAAACCAGGAAAAUGUUGAACCAUCUGUAGACUUCAGAGCUGGUAUGUAAAAUGAAUUGCUGUGAUGCUUAAUUUGUGAUCCUGUAACUAAACUAUACACUAUGUUAGAUUUUCUAAUUUCUGUUCCCUCUUUCUCAGAACCAGGUUUCUCCCCAGUAAUCCAGACUCCACUUCACAGAGCCAAGAGUUUGAGUACAAAACUCUUGUCUUGGAAACUAUUGCUUCUAUUUAAGAUUAGGAAUCUUUUUAUCUAUAAUCUGUUUUUCAUUAGGGCACUUGACUUUCUGGAAAAAAGGUGUUGAGCUCGCCAAGUACUAAGCUUUACACCACCAGCAGCAAAUGUACCCUGGCAGCAUAUGGGUGAAAACACUGGAGGAGAAAGUCAUCGCUUUGUUAUUGGCCCUUGGAUACCCCUGGCAUCUUGUGUACAGCACAAAGUUUUCAGCUAUGAAGAUUUCCAGGGACUCCAGAAUGAAAACCAAGCUCUGAGGGAGGAGAACCCAGCCCUGAGGGAAUGCAAUGCACAAGCAGCUUCGGAUGACAGCAGCUCAUUUCAAGAGCAGGUGAAGCAAGUAGGGACAAUAUUGAAGACGUUUGCUCUCACUGGGCAGUCAGGUGCGUUACCUGAAAGGAGCAGAAAAAGGCGCCGCACAGCUGAGAGUGACCCACAGCUGACCCCUUAAACCUAGGCUGACUACUGACACCCCAGCAUCACUGAACUGGAACACUUUCUUUAUCCUGCAGUCAGUAACAUCAAGAAGCCAGAAGUGCCAGACUACACUCACAAAAUCCACCCUGUUUUUUUAUUUAUUUUAACUUUAGUAGUGGCUUAUUUCAUUCCGUCUUAACGAUUCUAUUAUAGUUUGUAAAUCCUAUUUCAUACCUGUUACUUGAUAUUGCACAUUAACUAGUACCAAAAUUCUACUUUCAUUUCAUCAGUGUGCUUAACUGUUAUUCUAUUAAUAAUAGCUUGGAAAUACUAUUUCAUACCUCUGAUACUUGAUAUUGUACAUUACCUGGUACCA
ensembl:lncRNA